UCGGCUCCCUCCUGACUCGCGUCCCGUUCCGCUCCCAUGCGGAUUUAACGGAUUUACCUUCCCGCAGGCUCCCAUGGCUAGGUCAAGCGCAGCGGAUCGAUGGUGUGCUGUGGUCCCCAGUGUGCUCAGCGACGUGACAGCAGACUUGACAGCAGAUUUGGCCACGCACAGACAGUGACUAAACAGAAAAUGGCUCCAAAAGUGUCUGUUCUGAUGAAAUGCCUGCAGCCGGCUCUGAGGGACAGGGGAUGGCAGUAUGUUGUCUGUGGAGAUAUCGCAGCAUUAGAGGAGGGAGACAGAUCACUGAGCACCCUCAGGUUACGCUGAAAGCUGGACAUGCACAAACAGAUGCUUCUCUCUGACAUCGAUUCCUUUGGUCUGGCCAGCUGCCCUCAAGAAACUCGAGCUGUCAAACAAGG